rnacentral:rRNA from 1 species
UGCGUAGGCGGACUAAUAAGUCAGUGGUGAAAUCUUUCGGCUCAACCGAGAAACUGCCAUUGAUACUGUUAGUCUUGAGUUCGGUUGAGGUAGGCGGAAUGUGUAAUGUAGCGGUGAAAUGCUUAGAUAUUACACAGAACACCAAUUGCGUAGGCAGCUUAUUAGACCGACACUGACGCUGAGGCACGAAAGCGUGGGGAGCGAACAGGAUUAGAUACCCUGGUAGUCC